rnacentral:lncRNA from 1 species
AUGCGCAGUUCUCAGGAACCCCAGAAGAACGCCAGGGAGUGCAAGUCCGAAGCUAAAACAAAGAGAUCAGGAGCAAAGCCUCCCCCCCCACCCCCGCUGUUCAGGUUAGGGAUGUGAUGCCUGUGUCCAGGGGCUUGGUGCAUUUGCAUAGGCAGGGAUCCUCGAACUUUGGGGUUACAUGACUGGGGAGGUGACAAGGGAAAGAUAUCUUUCAAACCUGAUAACAUUUGUUCAGGGGCAGAACCAUGCAGCUGGGAGGGGGACCUUUCUGACCUGGGAAGUAACUUUAUGGAGAUAUCAGGAGCUAGUGUAUUUUUACAAACCAGUUGCAGCUGUCUGGGAACACUUGCCCUUCCCCCAUGGUCCAAGCAUGGGCCUUUUAUCAUUUCAAGGAUGGUUGGUCCUUGUUCCCUUCAAGGGCAGGAGCCAUCUGCACCUGAGAAAGAUUUCUGGAUCCAGCUGAAGAGCUCUAUCCUUGCAUCAAAACCAUGA